rnacentral:misc_RNA from 1 species
AUAUAUAUAUCAGACUUAUCUUUGUUGAGUGGUCUGGAUGUGGGGGUUUUUGCUGGCUUGUUCAGCUCCCCUGAAAUGCAUUAGCAGAACAAACCUUGUUCAUUGGUGUGAUAACUAUCUACGCUAUUGAAUGUGAGGGGAAGUUCAGCUUUCUAACUGUCCUUGGACAAUUCAUCAUUA